AAAGAUGAAUUUUUGAGAUACAUGCAUAGUUCACGCUGAGCGCCCUUCUAAGCGCGUUGCUGACCAUUAUAUCUAUCAUAUAGUCUUUCGCUCCUAUCUGAUCUUGUCCCA
rnacentral:snoRNA from 1 species